rnacentral:rRNA from 1 species
AUACAUAGGGUAAGGAGGCAAACCGGGGGAACUGAAACAUCUAAGUACCCCGAGGAGAAGAAAUCAACAGAGAUUCCGAAAGUAGCGGCUGAGCGAAAUUGGACUAGCCCUUAAGCUUUUAAUGAUGCAGGUGAAGCCUCUGGAAAGUGGCGCAAUAAAGGGUUAUAGCCCCGUAACUGUUCCAUCAUUAUAAGUGAAAUCGAGUAAGGCGGGACACGUGUUAUCCUGUCUGAACAUGGGGGGACCAUCCUCCAAGGCUAAAUACUACUGACUGACCGAUAGUGAACCAGUACCGUGAGGAAAGGCCGAAAAGAACCCCUGUGAGGGGAGUGAAAUAGAACCUGAAACCGUGUACCGUACAAGCAGNAGGAGCACCUUCCGUGGUGUGACCUGCCUACCUUUUGUAUAAUGGGNCAAG